AUUGAACGCUGGCGGCAGGCCUAACACAUGCAAGUCGAGCGGAGCGGCGGACGGGUGAGUAAUGCCUAGGAAUCUGCCUGGUAGUGGGGGAUAACGUCCGGAAACGGGCGCUAAUACCGCAUACUAUCAGAUGAGCCUAGGUCGGAUUAGCUAGUUGGUGGGGUAAAGGCCUACCAAGGCGACGAUCCGUACCUGGCCUGAGAGGAUGAUCAGUCAAAAUGGAACUGAGACACGGUCCAGACUCCGACGGGAGGCAGCAGUGGGGAUGAUUGCACAAUGGGCGCAAGCCUGAUGCAGCCAGGCCGCGUGUAUGAAGAAGGCCUUCGGGUUGUAAAGUACUUUCAGCGGGGAGGCGUUACCCGCAGAAGAAGCACCGGCUAACUCCGUGCCAGCCGCCGCGGUAAUUC
rnacentral:rRNA from 1 species